rnacentral:lncRNA from 1 species
UGUCUGCAGUCCCCACGCUCUCCAAAAUCAAUCUCGGAGAGCAAGGCAGUGUUUUGCUGAGAUUAAGCAGAUUUGCAAAUUAGGAAGAUUAAAUGGAAAUGUAAUGAAAUGAAAAUUAAAUGUCCUUCUAUUUUUUUAUUAUUAUUUUUUAUUUUUAUUAUUUUUUUGAGAGAGACAGAGACAGAGACAGAGAGGAAGGAAGGAAAAAAAAAGGAAAAAUCGCCCUUUCCUGGGAGGUGUCUUUUGAGUGAUCCCCCAAAACGCCUUUCCCGGAGCAGCUCCCUGUCAAACUACACGCGCUCCCGUCCGGAGGGACUGAAAAGUGAUUCAAACUCUCCGGGAAGCACAGACAUUUUUAAUUCCAUCUGAUGCAGCAGCUCGGAAAGCAGCGAGAUCAGCCACCGGGGCUGCAAAGGAGGCUCUCUGCCUCCUCAAAUCCCCCAAAAGCAGAGCGGUUUUACUCAUCAAGGAAACAGCCGAGAAAAAGAAGGAUCGGAGGCACUCACCAGAGCGUAGACCGAGCUCAGCACGGAGCAGCAGAGGAUCAAACCCAGGCUGUGAUAAACCAGAUAUGAUCCCAUAUCCAAGGGGCUCCUUCCAGCAUCCACGCUCUCUCGGGGAAGUUGGAGGACGGAGAGGUCUUCCAGCGCUCCGCUUGCAGAUGAUUUCUCCUUCCCUCCCUCCAACCUCCCCCCCCCUCCACCUCACUCUCCAGAACCGGUGUUUGUUUGUUUGUCUGUUUGUUUGUUUGUUUGUUUUAGCCGGAAAGGCACAUGACGAGAAAGCCCGGUCCUUUGCUUCGCUUUCUCAUGGCUGGAGAUGCGGGCAGCUCCCGAAAGGCAGCGGAGGAGCCCAUGCGAAGAAGCGGAGCGACUUCGGCUUCGCUCAGCGCCGCAGCCCCCGGUGCUGGUUGUUUUCCGCGUGCAUCUGUCUCAGAGCAGAAAAAUCACAUCCAUAUGUCAAAGCCGCGCUCUUCUGUUUCCUUUUUAUGAGGCAGUGGGAAGUUCAAAUAAUUUCUUUGUCAAACGCAAACACACAGAAAGAGGCAGAGAGGGAGGGAGGGAGGGAGAAAGGCGAGAGAGGGGUGGAAGGGGUGGGAGAUCGGAGAGGGUGGGGGAGGCUUUAAACCACGGCUUUAUUUUUAGAUCCAGUAAUUUUAUCUUUUGGGUUUCGGAGGGGUUUGGAAAGAAAGAGAGAGAGGGAAAAAAAAAAAAAAAAGCCUUUUUUUUUCUUUUAAUUCUUUUUCUCCACUUUCGCCACACGAACGGCUCUCAGAGCAGAAAGUUACGGGGAAAAAAAAUAGCGAAAACUUGGAGAUAUUUUCCCUCCUCAUUUACUUUUUCUUCGCAAACAGCGGUGCUUUUGGGGGGGACCUUUUCCUCCUUUUUUUUUUUUUUUUUUUCCUUGCUGGUGUAUCGCCGCGCGUUUCGCCUCCACAAUAGGUUUAUUCUCCAGCCCUCCGGGUCGAAGUGUGUUUCAGUUACAAAUCGGGAUUUUUUCGCUCCUCUCUCCCCUCUCUGCCUCAGAGGAUCUGCAGUUUCAAAAAGCCGAUUGAACACGGCGUGAAAGCGUGAGGCUGACGACUCCCCCGCCUCCUACCGCCACUCUCUCUAGUCCUCGUUCCGUGCCCCGCAAGGAGGAGCCCCCCGCGGAACCCCUGGCGCAUCGCAUCCCCGCUUUCCCCCCCUCAUGUCCCCAGCACCUCGCACCCCUCGUGGAUGUCACCAGCAUCGCAGUUUCAAGGCUGGGGAUGGUGCUCCCAGCUCAGCCGGGCGCUUUCAUUCAUAAAAUGGCAAGAUUGUAUCCAUGAAUGUGUGUAUAAUGAACCCAGAAGGAAUGCAGCACUAAAAGAAGCCUUUGUAAUGUUGCUAUUUUAAGGAGACCCUUGGGUAUGGCACGUGUUGAACUGAGUUUCUCCAACAUCUUACAACAAACCAAAAUGUUUAGAUCCUCCUACUGAUGUAAGACAGCAUAAAAAAAAUACAUAAUCAAUCUAAACUGGCUAAGGUUUUGACCAGGAAUUAUUGCUCCUGUGAAUUGGCUCUGUAUUGUAGCUAACUUUUACACAGCCUAAUAAUAAACAUCUCCUCCUCCCAGCUGGGUGAAUGUUUCCCCUCUGCUGGAGAUCAGGUCCCAGUCUGGAUAAAACACCUCUUGUCCUUUCUCUCCUCGGUCACUCAGGUUCAGUGAAACAUCAUGACUUACAUCAGCCAAAGCCUUUGAUCAGGGAGGGAAAGGUCUGACAUGGAUGGGGUUGGCAGCCACGCUGCAAGAAUCCCUCAUUGUGCAAGAAGCCAGUCCAAUGACCGACUGUCACCAAGGGUGAGACAGCCUUUUCUGCUCUGUUUGCUCUGUUUUCACUUGGCUAUUGCUGGCGUUUUGUUUGCAAAAUCAAGGCCAAAAUAUACAAGAAGCAGCUUCGAACAUGUUGGGUUUGUGCAUUAAGCCAGAUAGCCAUCAUGAAUUUCUGGCCAUUUUUGUUGUAUGUGUUGUAAAGAGCAGAAUUUUGCUGUCAGCAUUUUGUUUUCACAUGGUCAGAGAGGAGAAGGAGUAUAAUAGAGGUCCAAUUGACACUGUUUACACAAAGAUGAAGUCGUAACUCUUGGCUGAGAUGACUGUGGAAGUGGUGUGUGAUGGCUUCUUUGUUGGCUCUUUAAGAAAACAUCUGCUCUGGAUCUCGUGGACAAAAUCUAGGGUGAAAAAUUCUCUCAUUGCAAAAUGAGAAGCCGGAUGAAAAGCCCAGAGAAGCUGUGGGUGCUCCAUCUCUGGAGGUGCUCAAGGCCAGGUUGGAUGGGGCCCUGGGCUGCCUGAUCUGGAAGGUGGUAAUCCUGCCCAUGGCCCCGGGUUGGGGCUGGAUGACCUUUGAGGAUGUUUCCAGCCUAGGCCGUUCUAUGAUUCUAUGAGUUUCUCCAAUAGCAUCCAGCACUCAAGGAACAGGGCUGCUUUGGAAAUGUAUGUCAGAAUAAGAAAAAUACAUUUUUUGUACUCACACAUUGAACAGCGAAUGAAUGCUCAAGAAGAAUGAGGGUGAGAAUUGAAUCCAUUAAAACACUUUCUGGGACAAUAUUUUUGCUUUCAGCAGCUUUCUCUUCUGCUUUGCUUCAAUUCCUUCUAAACUCUGCUCCCCUUCCUCCAGGUGGUAUGAAAUAAAAAACAGUAAUAAAUAGAUUUUUCUAUAUAGGAAAAAAAUCAAAAACAAAUAAAAAUAUAUUUUUAAAAAUUUAGAUUUCUCUGUAAAGACUCUUCAUUAAGUACACAGAAAUGCUUGUGAUAUGUGGCCAUAGAUGGGCUGUACGCCUCUUCUAAUGCCCUGCAGUAUGGUUUACAAGGUGACUCAGUAACUGGGGCGAAGUCAUCGUGGUGGGUUUGGGUGCCCUACAUGAGAAGACGCAGAAAAUGUGUCAGAAAAAGGAUCACAGACCUGAAAAUGGUUUGGGAGAAGAGAGAGAUGAGGCGUGUGGAGUUGAGGUCUUGGGUUAAGGCAACAAAGGAGUGUUGGAGGUGACAGAUGAACCCAAAGGCAUUUUGCAUCUUAAGCAGGCCAGAUGGGUUAGCAAAGUCACCAGUAGAACACAAUUGUCAGUGGCUCCAUACAGUGACCUUUAGCUGAAACAAAGCUAUACAAAAGGAGCUCAGGGCAUGCAAGUAGGUGAAGGAAAAUCCUCAUCAGCAAUAGGCUUGGCAUCCAUUUGGUUGUGUUUUCAUGCAGACAAGGUGGGGCAGACAGGCUCUACACAGCAACACGUGCUCUUGCCUUAUCCCAUCUCUGUUGUUCUCCUUGCUGUAGGCUGAUGCUUUGGACCCAGAAAGACACAAGUGGGAUGGAGAUCAGAGCCCUGGGCUUUUCCCCGCAGACCAGCAACUGGUGCCAUUUCUGGCUGAUUCUCUACUUUUCUCUUCCUAGUGAGGGUCUUUUGUUAUUUAUCAGCUCCUUUCAAAGCAACAGCCUGAGAGAUUUCACAAUACUUUUCACAUAUGGUUACUCAGCCUGGGGCUCUCCACAGCUUAGCUGUUUCAGUGAUAUUUGCACAGCACUGAGCAACAGCAUUCCUGACCUGCAGGAGAAGUGAGUGCCUCAAACCUCCUUUUCUCCAUAUACACAAGAUCUUUUUUUGCUCUUAAAAAACCCCAGACCCCUCUCCCCAUCCCUGCCAGUUGCACGGCAGACUGGAUGUCCCUGGCAGCACACUUGGGCUUGCAUCCAUUUUUCUUCUUUGUGUGUGUGUGCGUUGUCAUCCAAUGCAUGGCCAGAACCAAAGGAAAACUCAUGUGUGUGUUGUCAUCCAAUGCAUGGCCAGAACCAAAGGCAAACUCCAUUUGGGAGGUGAGCAAGGAAAACCCCUCCAAAACAGCCAGGAGCUGAAAAGAUUUGGCAAGCUUUGCAGGAGAAAACUGCCAGCAGGGAAAGACGAGGUGGAGGCAUUACUCUGACAGAAGAAGCUCUGAUUAGCAGAUUAUCACUUAAGUGAUGUUGAUCCCAGCCACGCUGCCUUCCAAAUGAGCCCUUUCACAGCUGCCAGCUGCACCACGGAGUCGUGAAUGUAAAUGAGUGGGCCAGAUCCUCUGCUGGCAUCCAUCGACGUGGCUUUGAUGGACCAUCCUGGAUCUACAACAGCCGGAGGAGUGUGGCUGUCGUGGGAGCCUGACUUGCUAUGCAGAUUUCUUUGAGAGCCUGUGGGAAAGGGCCUGAAGCUGGAUGUACUGCAGGAUAGGGCAGCAUCAACUGCACAGCUGGAGGGACCCUUGAGACUUUGACUUUUGCUGCCAAACAAAGCCAUCUUUUUGCUGAGCUUGUAAACUGUUCCCUGGUACCGUACGCCAGCAUAUAGCAUCCUGCCCUCAUAAAGCUCUACUUAUCUCCAUCCAACUUCUUGGGCUGAGCGUGUGGGAAGCAUGUGAGGGACACUCAUGAGCAGCCUUGCAUUCUCCGAGCUGUGCUUUCCCCUGGGGGUGAGCAUUCCCCUAAGUGCACAGUCCAUUUCAGCUCUGAUAAGUCUUCAGAGGUGAUGGCCUGGAACCUGCAGAGCUGGUGGUGAGAAGGCAUACUUGACCUCUGGCCACGUCCAUCCAAUCUGACAGACUGGUCUUCGGAGAAUGGUGACCAAGAAUAAGCUCCAUGUCCCACAUGCCACCUGUUCAUCUGCACCGCUCCCUCUCCAGCAGCUCAUGGGCCAUGCCCAGCCUAUGUGUGACACCUCUCUGGCUGCUCAGAUGGAAAGUAAGAGCUUGGAGAGUGAGGACAGCAUGGAGUUAUGGAAGACAUGGCUACAAGAGCAUUCUUUCUCCAUCUCCAUGUGCUUCUGAAGGACCAGUCUGAUUCUGGCUCCUGCCAAGUUAGGAUAUGCUAUGAUUCUGUGAACACUUUUUGCAGCAAGUCAGCCAUAAGAAACAACAUACUCUCAGACAAUCAAGCCUCCAAAUUAAGGUGGGGAGACUUGUUGUGAAGGAGAUGGUUUUUUUUUUCCUACUGUAGAAGGGAUGUUCAAUGCUAUAGUGACAAGGAACAAUUCUUCAGCCUUAGACAGCAGAAAGAAGAAACAUAAAGAGACUGUACAGUUCUUGGGACACCGAGACAACUAUCUACGUGCUUUGUGGAAGCAGAGACAAGUAUGAGAUUUGGCUUUCUGGGCUAUGAGGGCACACAGCUGGCUCACAUCCAGCUCCCAUCCACCAUUUAGAUAAGAUACUAUUGCUUUUAAUAAAGACAAGUCAAAGAUCUUCUCCUAAGUGCUCUUAAAGAACUCCAGCAUUGUGUCUACAAUAAUCCAUCCGCCUUAAAGGAUCCAGCAGUACAUCACCACCAGUGGAUAUAAGAAGUAAUUAGUCAUCAUUUAGGGAAGUAAGAUUUAACAGUUAUUUUGUUGGCAGAAGUGCCGUGAUAAAAAUGGUACUCUGAAAGUUAUUUGGUAUUUCUCAUUGUUGCCAGAGUUCUGAACAUUUUGAUAGGAUGAACAUAGACUUCGGUAGGAAAGUUGUGGAUUUUUUCCCCUCCAUUUAGUAGAAAUAUAAAUGUUACAAAAUAAAUAAUGAUAGAAUAUAUGUGUAUAUAUUUUCAAUGCAUAUUUUAAAAUGCAUAUGAAAUGCAUUUUUUAAAAUAUUUUGUUCAAAUAUUUUUACUAAUGUUGUAUACCUUGCAUCUGUGAAGAGGGUUAUCCCUUAAACAUCCUUUCUUCAGACAGUACUGGGAUUCAUCCUCAGGCCCCGUUAUCUUGCUCUACGUUUCCUAGAGUCCAUCUAUAUAAUAAAUCAGAAUACUGCAUGGUUACACAUCGUAAUUAUUUUUUAAAAUUAUUUUUUAUUUUUUUGCUGAUUGGGGAAAUGGUGAAAACUGGUUUUUGCAUAUUUCAACAAUGUUACUCAGCCAAGUAAAAGAACAAGGGAGCAGAAUGGAAGAGAAAUGAAGAAAUGGAAGGAAGGAAGGAAGGAAGGAAGGAAGGAAGGAAGGAAGGAAGGAAGGAAGGAAGGAGGGAAGGAGGGAAGGAGGGAAGGAAGGAA